rnacentral:rRNA from 1 species
UACGGAGGGGGCUAGCGUUGUUCGGAAUUACUGGGCGUAAAGCGCACGUAGGCGGCUUUUUAAGUCAGAGGUGAAAGCCCGGAGCUCAACUCCGGAAUUGCCUUUGAGACUGGAUCGCUUGAACGUCGGAGAGGUGAGUGGAAUUCCGGAGUGUAGAGGUGAAAUUCGUAGAUAUUCGGAAGAACACCAGUGGCGAAGGCGGCUCACUGGACGACUGUUGACGCUGAGGUGCGAAAGCGUGGGGAGCAAACAGGG